rnacentral:rRNA from 1 species
GUUAAGCGACUAAGCGUACACGGUGGAUGCCCUGGCAGUCAGAGGCGAUGAAGGACGUGCUAAUCUGCGAUAAGCGUCGGUAAGGUGAUAUGAACCGUUAUAACCGGCGAUUUCCGAAUGGGGAAACCCAGUGUGUUUCGACACACUAUCAUUAACUGAAUCCAUAGGUUAAUGAGGCGAACCGGGGGAACUGAAACAUCUAAGUACCCCGAGGAAAAGAAAUCAACCGAGAUUCCCCCAGUAGCGGCGAGCGAACGGGGAGCAGCCCAGAGCCUGAAUCAGUGUGUGUGUUAGUGGAAGCGUCUGGAAAGGCGCGCGAUACAGGGUGACAGCCCCGUACACAAAAAUGCACAUGCUGUGAGCUCGAUGAGUAGGGCGGGACACGUGGUAUCCUGUCUGAAUAUGGGGGGACCAUCCUCCAAGGCUAAAUACUCCUGACUGACCGAUAGUGAACCAGUACCGUGAGGGAAAGGCGAAAAGAACCCCGGCGAGGGGAGUGAAAAAGAACCUGAAACCGUGUACGUACAAGCAGUGGGAGCACGCUUAGGCGUGUGACUGCGUACCUUUUGUAUAAUGGGUCAGCGACUUAUAUUCUGUAGCAAGGUUAACCGAAUAGGGGAGCCGAAGGGAAACCGAGUCUUAACUGGGCGUUAAGUUGCAGGGUAUAGACCCGAAACCCGGUGAUCUAGCCAUGGGCAGGUUGAAGGUUGGGUAACACUAACUGGAGGACCGAACCGACUAAUGUUGAAAAAUUAGCGGAUGACUUGUGGCUGGGGGUGAAAGGCCAAUCAAACCGGGAGAUAGCUGGUUCUCCCCGAAAGCUAUUUAGGUAGCGCCUCGUGAAUUCAUCUCCGGGGGUAGAGCACUGUUUCGGCAAGGGGGUCAUCCCGACUUACCAACCCGAUGCAAACUGCGAAUACCGGAGAAUGUUAUCACGGGAGACACACGGCGGGUGCUAACGUCCGUCGUGAAGAGGGAAACAACCCAGACCGCCAGCUAAGGUCCCAAAGUCAUGGUUAAGUGGGAAACGAUGUGGGAAGGCCCAGACAGCCAGGAUGUUGGCUUAGAAGCAGCCAUCAUUUAAAGAAAGCGUAAUAGCUCACUGGUCGAGUCGGCCUGCGCGGAAGAUGUAACGGGGCUAAACCAUGCACCGAAGCUGCGGCAGCGACGCUGAUGCGUUGUUGGGUAGGGGAGCGUUCUGUAAGCCUGCGAAGGUGUGCUGUGAGGCAUGCUGGAGGUAUCAGAAGUGCGAAUGCUGACAUAAGUAACGAUAAAGCGGGUGAAAAGCCCGCUCGCCGGAAGACCAAGGGUUCCUGUCCAACGUUAAUCGGGGCAGGGUGAGUCGACCCCUAAGGCGAGGCCGAAAGGCGUAGUCGAUGGGAAACAGGUUAAUAUUCCUGUACUUGGUGUUACUGCGAAGGGGGGACGGAGAAGGCUAUGUUGGCCGGGCGACGGUUGUCCCGGUUUAAGCGUGUAGGCUGGUUUUCCAGGCAAAUCCGGAAAAUCAAGGCUGAGGCGUGAUGACGAGGCACUACGGUGCUGAAGCAACAAAUGCCCUGCUUCCAGGAAAAGCCUCUAAGCAUCAGGUAACAUCAAAUCGUACCCCAAACCGACACAGGUGGUCAGGUAGAGAAUACCAAGGCGCUUGAGAGAACUCGGGUGAAGGAACUAGGCAAAAUGGUGCCGUAACUUCGGGAGAAGGCACGCUGAUAUGUAGGUGAAGUCCCUUGCGGAUGGAGCUGAAAUCAGUCGAAGAUACCAGCUGGCUGCAACUGUUUAUUAAAAACACAGCACUGUGCAAACACGAAAGUGGACGUAUACGGUGUGACGCCUGCCCGGUGCCGGAAGGUUAAUUGAUGGGGUCAGCGCAAGCGAAGCUCUUGAUCGAAGCCCCGGUAAACGGCGGCCGUAACUAUAACGGUCCUAAGGUAGCGAAAUUCCUUGUCGGGUAAGUUCCGACCUGCACGAAUGGCGUAAUGAUGGCCAGGCUGUCUCCACCCGAGACUCAGUGAAAUUGAACUCGCUGUGAAGAUGCAGUGUACCCGCGGCAAGACGGAAAGACCCCGUGAACCUUUACUAUAGCUUGACACUGAACAUUGAGCCUUGAUGUGUAGGAUAGGUGGGAGGCUUUGAAGUGUGGACGCCAGUCUGCAUGGAGCCGACCUUGAAAUACCACCCUUUAAUGUUUGAUGUUCUAACGUUGACCCGUAAUCCGGGUUGCGGACAGUGUCUGGUGGGUAGUUUGACUGGGGCGGUCUCCUCCUAAAGAGUAACGGAGGAGCACGAAGGUUGGCUAAUCCUGGUCGGACAUCAGGAGGUUAGUGCAAUGGCAUAAGCCAGCUUGACUGCGAGCGUGACGGCGCGAGCAGGUGCGAAAGCAGGUCAUAGUGAUCCGGUGGUUCUGAAUGGAAGGGCCAUCGCUCAACGGAUAAAAGGUACUCCGGGGAUAACAGGCUGAUACCGCCCAAGAGUUCAUAUCGACGGCGGUGUUUGGCACCUCGAUGUCGGCUCAUCACAUCCUGGGGCUGAAGUAGGUCCCAAGGGUAUGGCUGUUCGCCAUUUAAAGUGGUACGCGAGCUGGGUUUAGAACGUCGUGAGACAGUUCGGUCCCUAUCUGCCGUGGGCGCUGGAGAACUGAGGGGGGCUGCUCCUAGUACGAGAGGACCGGAGUGGACGCAUCACUGGUGUUCGGGUUGUCAUGCCAAUGGCACUGCCCGGUAGCUAAAUGCGGAAGAGAUAAGUGCUGAAAGCAUCUAAGCACGAAACUUGCCCCGAGAUGAGUUCUCCCUGACCCUUUAAGGGGCCUGAAGGAACGUUGAAGACGACGACGUUGAUAGGCCGGGUGUGUAAGCGCAGCGAUGCGUUGAGCUAACCGGUACUAAUGAACCGUGAGGCUUAACCU